GGUCACUUGGCGCAGUUGGUAGCGCAUCUCCUUGACAUGGAGGGGGUCGCAGGUUCGAGUCCUGCAGUGACCACCA
rnacentral:tRNA from 1 species